GGGCAUGUAGCUCAGUCGUAAAGCAGCCCAUUGGCUGGGGACCAGUGCUGGGUUCGAUCCCCAGCAUGUCCA
rnacentral:tRNA from 1 species